GUCAAAAUUGGAAUGUUUUGCAGGACAGUAAUAUCUGCGUUGUCCAUGCGUUUAAGCUGAUGGUAUACUAUCUCCUUCUGACAGUGCUUCAUUCUUCUGAUUGUAAUGCUCCAUUUUUCUGGUUGAGUCUCAAAGAGCUGAUCCUUAUAAGACAUGUUCUCUUACCUUACACAGAUAGUCAUACCUGACCCGAGCAAUUACAAGGUACUCAAAAGAAGGCCCCUCCAAUAGUUCACUGAUUCUCCAUCAGGAAGAAAAACUGAGACAGAGUUUUUCUAUGCCUAUCCAUAAAUUAGUUCUGAAACUGCAAGUUAGCUGUAGCUUAAAUUACUUCAUGGGGCAUAAAUUCUUUCUCACCAUUGCCAGUGAGAGUCCCAUGAUGCCAAAUCAUUAUGGCUUUCUGUGAAGUCAGGAAUUCUACCAGAGUGAAAGCAACACAUUUUUGAUUGCUCGGAAGUAGCCAAGCUUUUUGAAGAAUCUGCUAGCUAAAUAUGACCUGAACACAUUUUUCAUGAACAUACGUCAUCCUUUAGGCUGAACAAAUGUGCAGUUGGAUUAUUUUUCCUUUGGAUGCACUUUCGUUGUCCAAAACAACCUACUUCCCGGGUGGGAGUAACACCUUCUAAAAGUGGCCUUGAACAUCUACACAGAACUUUUGCACAUCAAAAGAGAAUACAAUUCUGUAAAAUCAGAAUAAUCUUCAGCUAAGUUUGAGGGCCUUUGGAUGUUAAAAUAUUUCAUUCUGUCUUGUUUGCAACAUUAUUUUUUAUUACAGCUCUUCAAGGAAUAGCUUUUUGUUAUGAAAUAGAUGAGAUUUUGUAGCAAUUGUACACAGUGGAUUCUUGUAAAGUUAUGGUACACCCUUAUGUAAUAACAGGUUCCUGACACCUUCUUCGAUAUACAGUGGUUUAACAUGUAACAGAGUUUACCCCAGGAACUGGGAUUAGCCCCCCCAGGUCUUGCACCAAAUUUCUCACUUUGAGUGAAGUUUGAAUGUUUGGGGUUUUUUCUGUGUUAACUGUGUCACUUCUAAAUUUCAGUAGCAUAAAAGGCUUAAAAGGCUCUUCAGAAA
ensembl:lncRNA